CCUGAACGCUGGCGGCGUGGCUAAGACAUGCAAGUCGUACGGGGCCGCAAGGCCCAGUGGCGAACGGGUGAGUAAUGAAUCGCUAAUGUGCCCCGGACUCAGGGAUAGCCGCUCGAAAGGGCGGGUAAUACCUGAUGACAUAACCCUGUCGCAUGGCAGGGUUCUCAAAGGUCCGCCGGUCUGGGAGCAGGCGAUUUCGUAUCAGCUAGUUGGUGAGGUAACGGCUCACCAAGGCGACGACGCGUAGCCGGACUGAGAGGUUGGCCGGCCACAUUGGGGACUGAGACACUGCCCAGACUCCUACGGGGGGCUNCAGUAACGAAUCUUCCGCAAUGCACGAAAGUGUGACGGAGCGACGCCGCGUGUGGGACGAA
rnacentral:rRNA from 1 species